rnacentral:rRNA from 1 species
GGGUCAGUAGGUUGGUCGUGCCACCGGUACGUACUGGUCUCACUGAUUCCUCUUUCCUGAAGAACCGUAACGCCAUUAAUUUGGUGUUGCGGGGAAACAGGACUGUUACUUUGAAAAAAUUAGAGUGUUUAAAGCAAGCUAACGCUUGAAUACAUUAGCAUGGAAUAAUGAAAUAGGACGAUCGAUCCUAUUUUGUUGGUUUCUAGGAUUGACGUA